UACGGAGGGUGCAAGCGUUAUCCGGAUUUACUGGGUUUAAAGGGUGCGCAGGCGGAUAUGUAAGUCAGUGGUGAAAUCUCCGGGCUUAACCCGGAACUGCCGUUGAUACUAUAUACUCAUUGAAUACUUUGGAGGUAAGCGGAAUAUGUCAUGUAGCGGUGAAAUGCUUAGAUAUGACAUAGAACACCAAUUGCGAAGGCAGCUUACUACACAGUUAUUGACACUGAGGCACGAAAGCGUGGGGAUCAAACAGG
rnacentral:rRNA from 1 species